rnacentral:rRNA from 1 species
CAGCAGCCGCGGUAAAACGUAGGUGGCAAGCGUUAUCCGGAAUUAUUGGGCGUAAAGCGCGCGUAGGCGGUUUUUUAAGUCUGAUGUGAAAGCCCACGGCUCAACCGUGGAGGGUCAUUGGAAACUGGAAAACUUGAGUGCAGAAGAGGAAAGUGGAAUUCCAUGUGUAGCGGUGAAAUGCGCAGAGAUAUGGAGGAACACCAGUGGCGAAGGCGACUUUCUGGUCUGUAACUGACGCUGAUGUGCGAAAGCGUGGGGAUCAAACAGGAUUAGAUACCCCUGUAGUCCCUGUCUCUUAUAA